AUUGAACGCUGGCGGCAGGCCUAACACAUGCAAGUCGAGCGAGCGGCGGACGGGUGAGUAAUGUAUGGGGACUGCCCGAUAGAGGGGGAUAACUACUGGAAACGGUGGCUAAUACCGCAUACUAUCGGAUAACCCAUAUGGGUUUAUCUAGUAGGUUGGGUAAAGGCUCACCUAGGCGACGAUCUCUAGCUGGGCUGAGAGGAUGAUCAGCCACACUGUGACUGAGACAGGGCCCAGAGUCAAACGGAGGCAGCAGUGGGGAAUAUUGCGCCAUGGGCACAAGCCAGAUGCAGCCAUACCGCGUGUAUGAAGAAGGCCUGAGGGUUGUAAAGUACUUUCAGCGAGGAGGCGUUACCCGCAGAAGAAGCACCGGAGAACUCCGUGCCAGCAGCCGCGGUAAUAC
rnacentral:rRNA from 1 species